UUGGCUGGACAACUUGGCUGCAAAAGGUAAAUUUCUUUGCUCUUCCGUGUUUCAGGAUCAGAAGUGACCUGGGGGCCUAGCACGGGCGGUCUCACUGCCUCUGGAAACAAAGCCCGAGUCCCCAGAGAGGGACUCGCACCACCGUUACCAGCAUGUCUACGGCUGUCAAAGGAUAGCUUGGAAAGAACAUUUCCACAUGCAUAUCAGACCUAGUUCCAAAACCCUGGCAGAAACCAGCAUCACCUCGUGCCGCAUCCUUACAGAGAUUUUCUGCAGUCCAUUAAAAGCUAUCUCCUUGACCAUCUGAGCAAGCAGGAAGUCAUGUCUAGGUU